AUCUUGUAUCAGCAUCUGCAGAAUCUUCGGUAAGGCCCCAAAUCCGUAGAUGAGUACACGAAGGAGUUCUAUCAGUUGGUGGCACGAAACGAUCUGGCGGAGAGUGAGUAGUAGAUGGUCGCACGAUACCUCAGAGGUUUAUGACAGCAGAUCCAAGAUGCCUUAAGGCUUUACACUAUAUGGACGGUCAAGGAGGUGUACCAUAGGACUAUUAUGGCUGAGGAGCUAUUGCAAUGAAGGCCUAUGAUUAGAUCUGAUUCUACCUUAUGAAGUAAUCAAGUUCUAGAAAAUCAGAAAGACAUGCAAGGUA
rnacentral:lncRNA from 1 species